UAGGGAAUCUUCGGCAAUGGACGAAAGUCUGACCGAGCAACGCCGCGUGAGUGAAGAAGGUUUUCGGAUCGUAAAACUCUGUUGUUAGAGAAGAACAAGGACGUUAGUAACUGAACGUCCCCUGACGGUAUCUAACCAGAAAGCCACGGCUAACUACUUGCCAGCAGCCGCGGUAAUACGUAGGUGGCAAGCGUUGUCCGGUUUUAUUGGGCGUAAAGCGAGCGCAGGCGGUUUCUUAAGUCUGAUGUGAAAGCCCCCGGCUCAACCGGGGAGGGUCAUUGGAAACUGGGAGACUUGAGUGCAGAAGAGGAGGGUGGAAUUCCAUGUGUAGCGGUGAAAUGCGUAGAUAUAUGGAGGAACACCAGUGGCGAAGGCGGCUCUCUGGUCUGUAACUGACGCUGAGGCGCGAAAGCGUGGGGAGCAAACAGG
rnacentral:rRNA from 1 species